GAUGAACGCUGGCGGCGUGCCUAACACAUGCAAGUCGAGCGAUUCUCUUCGGAGAAGAGCGGCGGACGGGUGAGUAACGCGUGGGUAACCUGCCCUGUACACACGGAUAACAUACCGAAAGGUAUGCUAAUACGAGAUAAUAUGCUUUUAUCGCAUGGUAGAAGUAUCAAAGCUCCGGCGGUACAGGAUGGACCCGCGUCUGAUUAGCUAGUUGGUAAGGUAACGGCUUACCAAGGCGACGAUCAGUAGCCGACCUGAGAGGGUGAUCGGCCACAUUGGAACUGAGACACGGUCCAAAACUCCUACGGGAGGCAGCAGUGGGGAAUAUUGCACAAUGGGCGAAAGCCUGAUGCAGCAACGCCGCGUGAGCGAUGAAGGCCUUGGUCGUAAAGCUCUGUCCUCAAGGAAGAUAAUGACGGUACUUGAGGAGGAAGCCCGGCUAACUACGUGCCAGCAGCCGCGGU
rnacentral:rRNA from 1 species